rnacentral:tRNA from 1 species
GCCCCGCUGGCGCAAUGGAUCAGCGCACCGGCCUACGAAGCCGGGGGUUGCAGGUUCGAGUCCUGCGCGGGGCGCCA